UUCUGUCGGGGAUGGCGCCCCCAGCGGAAUCGCUAGGAAUUGCAAAAGGCGGAGGGAAGGACUCCAAUUCCCAGAAUCCUUGGCCUCUGGCUCUGACAGGCUGACAUAUGAAGGCUGCUAGGGACUGUAGGAAGAAGGGUCUGGAAGGGGGCCUGGCUGGACUCUCUGCACCCAGAGGGACCCGGCUUCUUGGGGACGACGGCUUAAAGGGCGGCGCUCGGGUGGACGCGCCAUUGUUUCCCUGCAGAGGAGGAAGGGGAAGGGAAUCGGAGGGGGUCCCUGAUCAUGGAAGGGAGCCGGGAGAGGGUCAGGGACUGCGUGGAGCUGGCCGAGGAGGAGGAGGAGGAGGAGGAUGCCCGAGGGGCCGGGAGUGGCGGCUACGAAGAGAGGGGGGCGGCCUCCUGGAGGAGGAGCGAGGGACGGAGGGGCGGCCCUGAGGAGGAGGAGGAGGAGGAGGAGGAGGAGGCAGCAGGCCCCGAGGCUAGCCAGGCCUCCGCCGCCCCUCGAGGGCGCCCCCUCAGGACACCGGAGGAGGAGGAGGAGGAGGGUGGGCUGGGUGCCCCUCAGACAGAGAACCUGGGCUCCCUGAGGGAGAAGGCGGGCGCCCUGAAGGAAGAGGGGCAUGGCCCUCAGGCGCCCCUCCCAGAGAACGUGGGCUCCAGGGCGUUGCAAAGGGGCUUGGCCCUGCCAGAGGGAGCAGGGGUCUUGUCAUCAGUUGCCUUGAGAAGGGGAAGGGACCCCUCGGGGGAGCAGGGGGGCUCUCUGCGGGGCACCCUCCCAGAGAAGGUGGCCUUCCUCAGCGAAAAGGGGGGCGCCCUGCAGGAAGGGAUGGAUGUUCCUCUGGUUGCCCUGCGAGGGAAGAGGGACUCCCAGAAGAAGAAGGGGAAGGGGAAGGCUCUCAGGGGUGCCCUGUUUGGUCUUGAGGUGGAGCAAAAGGGCGCCCAUUUGUACAAGGGUUGUGCCCUGUGGGAUGCCCCCUCGAAGGAGGAAGGGGCUACUACCUUCCUAGCUGCCUUGGACCACAACAUCCCUGUGGAGAAGAUGGGCACCUUGCAGGAGAUCUUGGGCGCCCAAGAGGAUGCCACCUGGGGCUUUCUGUGGGAUGACCCACUGCGGGAGAAGAUGGGGGGCUUGGGAAAGAUGGAAGGCCUCCAAGCAAAGAUGGAGGACCAGAGAUGGAUACUGAAUAGUCUGAGGGAUGCAUCUCAAAAGGAGCUGGAUGCCUCAGAUGAAAAGAGGAAUGCUCCGCAGAGCACUUUGCAGCAUCUCUUGAGAGACGUCCAGCUGCAGGAGAAGCCAGGCGCCUUCCCUGAGGAGAUGGAUGUCCUCCAGGAUGCCCCAGGGAAAGCAGUGGGGGUCCUACGGAAAGAGGUCCCUGUGUCCUUUGAGGAGGUGGCUAUCCAUUUCACAGAGGAGGAGUGGGCCUUGCUGGAUCCAGACCAAAGGGCUCUGUACAGAGAAGUCAUGCUGGAGAAUUAUGGGAAUGUGACCUCUCUAGGUAGUGGCAAAAUGUCAGUGAUGUGUUCCAGAUCUACUCCUGUUUGUGACAAAGUGGAAAGAGCUGUUCUGCACUCAGAUCAGACCCCAAUUUCCUUUGAGGAGGUGGAGCCAGGACAUUUUGCCAAGGAGGAAGUGGCCCUACUGGAUACAGAACAAAAAUCCCUGAAGAAGCCCAUGGAGGAGAAGCUAGAGAUCGAUGCCUCUCUGACUAAGGAUGUGCUUAAAUCAACAAUAGAUAAUCACUGGGAAGCCCACACAACAGAGAAGCCAUUUAAGCAUCUGGAGUGUGAAAAGAGCUUUAACUGUUUUCAGAGAGUGCAGACAGAUGUUAAACCAUUUCAGUGUCUUGAAACCAGAAAAUACUUCAGUCAGAGUAUAGCAGGCCUUGCUUACCACCAGCAAGAACUCAUAGUAGAAAAACCCUAUAAAUGUCUGGAAUGUGGAAAGAGCUUCAGUCAGAGUGGACGACUUAUUAUACAUCAGAGAAAUCACCCAAGGGAAAAAACAUACAAAUGCCUGGAGUGUGGGAAGGACUUCAAUUCAGGUCCAGGCCUCACCUACCAUCAAAGAAUACACACAGGGGAGAAACCAUAUAAAUGUCUGGAGUGUGGGAAGAGCUUCCGUGGUCAUAAUCAGCUUACAGAUCAUCAAAGAGUACACACAGGGGAGAAACCAUUUCAGUGUGUGGAGUGUGGAAAAUGUUUUAGUCAAAGUGGACAACUUACUAUACAUCAAAGAAUACACUCAGGCGUGACGCCAUACAAAUGUCUUGAGUGUGGAAAGAGCUUUAGUUCGAGCACAGGGCUCAGCUGCCAUCAGAGAACCCACACAGGGGAGAAACCAUUCAAAUGCCUGGAGUGUGGAAUGAGUUUCAGUCAGAACAUAAGCCUUACAUACCAUCAAGUAGUCCACACAGGGGAGAAACCAUAUAAAUGCCUGGAAUGUGGAAGGGGUUUCUCUAGACAUGAGCUGUUGACCAUCCAUCAAAGAGUUCAUACAGGGGAGAAACUGUAUACAUGCCAGGAAUGUGGAAAGAGCUUCAGUUGGAGCACAAGUCUUACCUACCAUCAAAGAAUGCACACAGGAGAGAAGCCAUAUACAUGUGCAGAAUGUGGAAUGCGCUUCCGUAGCCAUCACCACCUUACUGAUCAUCGAAGAGUGCACACAGGGGAGAAACCAUUUAAAUGUUUGGAAUGUGGGAAGUGCUUUGGUCAGAGCAAUGGACUUGCUCGCCACCAGAGAACCCACACAGGGGAGAAGCCAUUUACAUGUUUGGAGUGUGGAACAAGCUUCAGCCAAAGUGGACAACUUGUCAUACAUCAAAGAGUACACACAGGAGAGAAACCCUAUAAAUGUUUGGAGUGCACAAUGAGCUUCCGUCAGAACAGAAGCCUUAUCCGCCAUCAAAGAGUUCACACAGGGGAGAGGCCUUUUAAAUGCUUAGAGUGUGGCAAGAAUUUUAGUCAGGAUUCACAUCUUAUGUCACACAAAAGAAUUCACACAGGAGAGAAACCAUACAAAUGCCUGAUAUGUGGGAAAAGUUUUCUAAGGCAUGAAUACCUAACCAUCCAUCGAAGACAUCACACUGGGGAAAAGCCAUUUAAAUGCCUAGAGUGUGGCAAGGCCUUCAUGAAGAGAGACUCUCUUCUUUGCCAUGAAAGAAUUCACACAGGAGAGAAACCAUUUAAAUGCCUAGAAUGUGGGAAAGGCUUCAGACAGAACAGAAGCCUUAGUUUCCAUCAAAGAGUCCAUACAGGGGAGAAACCAUUCAAAUGCCUGGAGUGUGGAAAGCUCUUUAGACUUAGUGCAAACCUUACUGUACAUAAAAGAAUUCACACAGGGGAAAAACCAUAUAAAUGUCUGGAAUGUGGAAAGAGCUUCAGUCAGAACAGAAGUCUUAUCUAUCAUCAAAGACUUCACACAGGGGAGAAACCAUUUAAAUCUCUGGAAUAUGACAAUUGCUUUGGCAACAGCACAGGACUUGCCUGCCAGCAAAAUGAAACAAUAAAUAAACCAUGGAGUGCAGUUCCGUGGCUUGUUUAGGUGAACCAACUACAAGUGGUAGUUAUUGCAUAGUGUGUCCUGUCGUGCUCUCCAUAUACCAUAAACCAACCCUGGCUUUACAUGUUGUGUGAUAAUGACCAUUGAGUUGAGAUCUUUCUUCGCAUCAAGUAAUCUGCAUAGAAGAGAGAACCUUUAAAUGUUAAAUGCAGGGUUGGCUGGUUGAAACUAAGUUGGUUUAAACCAAAUAACUUUAAAAUAAAGCACUCCAAUUUUUAAAAAUGGAUUAAUCAUUUUUUAAAAGUCUGGCUAUUAUUACUAUUUUCCAGCCUUUUUACUGGAACAACCAUGACUGUUUUAAUUUAAACAUUUUAACUUUUAAAAGGUUAUUGGCAGUUGUUGUUAGACCAGUAUCUAGUGUCAGUUGUUUCUUUUUAAUCACUUUAUUUUAUAGUGCAAGAAACGACGUUAAAAAACCAGUCCUUUAAAUUAACGCAGGUUCAACCAAAAUAUUUUGCUUUAAAAGAGCACUUUAUUAUUUAAGCUACUUACCAUAACAUCCAAACUGCAUUUUUCUAUUUAACUUUCUGAUUUAGCCCUUUAUUGGUGUAGUCUUACACAUUAAUGGGGGGGGAUUGUUUUUCCCCCCCCCCCCAAAAAAAAACAACAACCAGCGUUUUGUUUUGUUUUUAAACCUGUUUCUUCCCCAACCCUUGUGAAAUGUGCUUUGAUAAAUAAAUGUACAUUGGUGAAUGCCUAGCAUACAAAAAGAACUUGGAAAAGAAACUCUCAUUGUGCCUAUGGUAAAACUAAUGGCUGGAAUACAGUACUGUCUGUUACAUAUACUGUAUAGGCAACAUUGCAAGUUAUUAUUUGUUCACUGAGACCAAAAGCAUCCAGCAUUCCUCUGCAACACACACAAUUGGCCUCCUUGUUUGCUGGGUGCCAUUCCCCAGACAUUUAGAGGCAAGGUUGUGACCAGGCAGCAUCCGGCUGUGUUGGUGCAUCCAGAUACAGCAAGACGCAGGCCUCCUCCUGGAUUUCCAGGGUGUUCUUGAAGGACUCCUCAGAGGCCCAGGAGAAUGACAUAACCUUUCUAUGUCUCUCUGCUAAAACACAGCUGGACAUUGCCUUGGUAUAGCUUGUCCUUCCCAAUUCACUAAAUGACUAUAGUGGGGAGUGCUCAGCCAGUGAGGAAGGAGGUGGCAUGCCCAGGGAGAGGAGUAGGAAGCACAACUACACCUGGCAGAGCUUUAUCUUCCUUGAAGUCCUUGCAGGGUCUUGAGCAAUUAGAAAUGAUACGCUGUUGGCAGAUGUUCAACCUAAUUCCUGGUUUAAGGGAAGAAUCCCUCUGGUGAGAGUUUUUAUAACUCUUUGGGGAAAAUAUUAGGAUCUUAUAUUUAUUAAAACUUAUUAAGAAGCCAAAGGAAGUGGUUGUAGAAUGGAUUAAAAAAACCAGCACUUUUGAUUACCCUCCCCUCCUACAAUAGGUACACACACACACACUCUUAUGGAUCAUUUGUAUUUAGGGUUUUUUAAAAGGGGGGUUUAUAAUCAUGCCUGAUUUCACUUCAAACAUCCAUUAAAGGUCUAUCAGUAUCUGUCCCCAAUAUAAAACAUAUAUUUACAUUGCUGAUAUUCUGAGAUGCUGAUUGUAAUUUUACAAAUGGUUUGAAAACUGUAUUUUUGCCUGAUUAACAAACCGCUAUGAAACCCUAGGCACCUCUGGCUCUAGAAAGCAAGAUGUUUUGACACAAUACUGAGGUGCAAACUUUGUACUUAAUGCAAGGUUUUGGAGUAAAGUGAAAGGGGUGAUGUGAGAAAAUUGUUUGUUUCUUUAUUGUGGUAUACCUCUUCAGUUUUUUCUGAGUUGUUUUUCUUUGAGACAACUACAUUUUCAAGCACUUGAUACCGAACUUGUUCAGUUUUAAUCCUCCUUUAGGCAAAUUUGCAUUGAUUGACUUCUCAGUUAUUUUUUGACCCUGUGGAAAUUUCAGUUGUAUGUCAGAGAAUAAAAAGUACCUCAUGUCUGGGAGGAUGUUUGUAGGUGCAGAAUCAAAGGUAUUUCUGCAUCUAAUUUGAUGCAAAAUACAUCUGCACGAGAUGAAGGAUUUUUUUUUAGUAGCAGCCAGUUUUCCUUUAUGGCAAAGAAUGUAACCAGGUUUCUGUGUCUGUAAAAUACUACUACUAUUAUUUCCAAUCUUCUUGUUUUGUUCUAAAAAAAAAAUUGGCAAACCAAUGCAAACCUUUGAAGGAUAAAAAUAAAUAGGGACAAAUAAUACACAAUGAUCUAUCUAGCCCAGUAACAAAAUAUUCUCUAUUAAGGGAAAUGUCCCCCAGUCUUCCUGCAAUGAAAGGCCAUUCUUAUGGUGUUCUUAUUUAUGUGUGAUAAAAUUAAACCAAAUACUUUGCAUUCUUGUUCCAUCAGACUCCCAUGUUGCUGGCUACUGGUUUGACCAGGAUUAGGGAUCCUGCUGCAAGCAGAGGCCAUUCCCCUUCUUAGCCAUAUGGGGACAAGGGGCAAUAAAAUACAGAGAAUGGCUUUCUUACCCAGAGAGGACACAUGACUAUAGUUCUCAACCAUAACUUCCUUGUACAAGGCCCUUUGGUCUGGAUCCAGGAGAGCCCACUCUGCCUUGGUAAAAUGGACGGCCACCUCCUCAAAGGAAAC